rnacentral:lncRNA from 1 species
CUCUAUGGAAGGAGCAGCACUGGGCAACAGGACCCCAGGGAGAAGACCCCUCCUCGUCCUCAAGGACAGAGGCCAGAGCCGGAGAAUAGAGGGGGAUUUCAAGGAUUUGGAUUUGGAGAUGGUGGCUUCCAGAUGUCUUUUGGAAUUGGGGCAUUUCCCUUUGGGAUAUUUGCCACAGCAUUUAAUAUAAAUGAUGGGCGGCCUCCUCCAGCUGUCCCUGGGACACCCCAGUAUGUGGACGAGCAGUUCCUGUCACGCCUCUUCCUAUUUGUGGCCCUGGUGAUCAUGUUCUGGCUCCUGAUUGCCUAAUGCUGGGCUCCUGCCUACAUCCGUGGCAGGGCUCUGGACUGGUGACAUGCCACCCCAACUCCUGGUGUUUGGCUUCCUGGCUAAUCUUGACUCCUGGAAUCAGUGGGAUCAGUAACACAUCAAGGAGUCUUGUUUCUUCAUCAGAGCUUUGGAACUCGAGACCAGUUGGCGAUGACCCCUGAGUAUCGCCACUGCUGUAAACACCCUAUAACCUCAGGCCUUGGCAUUGAGUCCUCUCUUAUGGGUGACACCAUGAAAUCUUGUUUCAGCCAGUUCUGCAGGUCCUGACUCUGCAGAGGGAAGAGGCAGAAAGAGAGAAACUGUCAGAGUAUAAUUUCACCUGAGUUUAAUAUUACAGAAACAAAGGGAUGCACCAAAUGGUAUUUCUGGAAAUUUUCAUGUCUUUAAAUACCCCUU